UACGUAGGGUGCGAGCGUUAAUCGGAAUUACUGGGCGUAAAGUGUGCGCAGGUGGCCGCGCAAGUCGAGUGUGAAAUCCCCCGGGCUUAACUUGGGAAUUGCGCUCGAAACUACGUGGCUCGAGUAUGGCAGAGGAAGGUGGAAUUCCACGUGUAGCGGUGAAAUGCGUAGAGAUGUGGAGGAACACCGAUGGCGAAGGCAGCCUCUGGGCCAACUUAC
rnacentral:rRNA from 1 species